CAUGGUUUUUUUGAAUUUGAUUUAAAAUUUAAUCUGCUCAAUGAUUAAUUAAAUUGCCGCAAUAUUUUAAUUGUGCAAAGGUAGCAUAAUAAUUAGUUUCUUGAUUGGUAGCUGGAAUGAAUGAUUAGACGAUAAAAUAGCUGUCUCUAAAUAAAUAUUUAAUGAAUUUUAUAUUUUAGUUAAAAAGCUAAAAUUUUUUUAAAAGACGAGAAGACCCCAUAGAGUUUUAUAUAGAAUAAAAUAAUUUUAUAAUUGGUAAAUAAUAAUUUUGGUUAUAUUUAGUUGGGGUGAUUGAGAAAUUUAAAUAAUUUUUUUAUUAUAAAGUUUUUGAUAUGAAAUUUUUUUUAUCUAUAAUUUUAAAUAUAAUAUAAAUUACCUUGGGGAUAACAGCGUAAUUUUUUUAAUAGUUCAUAUUGUAAAAAAAGUUUGCGACCUCGAUGUUGGAUUAAAAUUAAUUUUGGAUGAAAAAGUUUAAAUAUUAAGUCUGUUCGACUUUUAAAAUUUUACAUGAUCUGAGUUUAGACCGGUGUAAGCCAGGUCGGAUUCUAUCUUUAAUUUAUAUAAAUAUUUUAGUACGAAAGGACCAAAUAUUAAUUAUAAUAAUG
rnacentral:rRNA from 2 species